rnacentral:misc_RNA from 1 species
GAAAUGCGAUAAGUAAUGUGAAUUGCAGAAUUCAGUGAAUCAUCGAAUCUUUGAACGCACAUUGCGCCCGCCAGUAUUCUGGCGGGCAUGCCUGUUCGAGCGUCAUUUCAACCAUCAAGCCCCGGGCUUGUGUUGGGGACCUGCGGCUGCCGCAGGCCCUGAAAACCAGUGGCGGGCUCGCUGUCACACCGAGCGUAGUAGAUUCUCAUCUCGCUCAGGGCGUGCUGCGGGUUCCGGCCGUAAAACAGCCUUAUUUUACCCAAGGUUGACCUCGCAUCAGGUAGGAAGACCCGCUGAACUUAAGC